rnacentral:rRNA from 1 species
GGGGGCCUACGGGAGGCAGCAGUGAGGAAUAUUGGUCAAUGGGCUUACGCCUGAACCAGCCAAGUCGCGUGAGGGAAGACUGCCCUAUGGGUUGUAAACCUCUUUUGUCAGGGAGCAACGCCGGCUACGUGUAGCCGGACUGAGAGUACCUGAAGAAAAAGCAUCGGCUAACUCCGUGCCAGCAGCCGCGGUAAUACGGAGGAUGCGAGCGUUAUCCGGAUUUAUUGGGUUUAAAGGGUGCGCAGGCGGCACGGCAAGCCGGCGGUCAAAUCGCGGGGCUCAACCCCGCCCAGCCGUCGGAACUG